rnacentral:misc_RNA from 1 species
AGAGCAACGGCAGCGUCAAGGACUCCAGCAGCGACGGAUCGUCUAACAAUCAGCAGUCCAAUCGCAGGAGGAGGAAUGGAUUCAGCCAGGGGCGGCGGAAGAUGUAUGACAGUGAUAGCAAGGAGAAAAAGAUACGGCGGACUGUAUACGUCUCAGACAUCAGUCAGAAUGUUACUGAAGAGGGCCUUGCUUCAAUUUUCAAUUACUGUGGCACUGUAGUCGAAUGCCGGGUUUGUGGCGACCCCCGCU